GUCUCAGAAAGCAGUGCUCUCAGGGCACCUCCACCAUGGCCUGGGCUCUGCUCCUCCUCAGCCUCCUCUCUCAGGGCACAGGGUCCUGGGCCCAGGCUCCCCUCACUCAGCCGCCCUCAGUGUCUGGGACUCCAGGGACGUCAGUCACCAUCUCCUGUGCUGGGAGCAGCAAUGACAUUGGGAGUACUAGUUAUGUCUCCUGGUUCCAACAGCGCCCAGGCACAACCCCUAAAGUCCUGAUUUAUAGGGUCAGCAUUCGGCCCUCGGGGAUCCCUGAGCGCUUCUCUGGCUCCAAGUCUGGCAACACGGCCACCCUGACCAUCGCUGGGCUGCAGGCCGAGGACGAGGCCGAUUAUUACUGUUGCUCAUAUACAACCAGUAGCACUCACCACAGUGUGUUUUCAGGGUUCACUCCUGCUGAAGUCUAUGUCGGGACUCCAUCCCGUAGCGCGGCCCAAUGA